AUGAAAGGGAAGUUCUUAAAUUACCCACCCCAGCCAAGAGGAAGAGGUGGUAACAGGAAUUCUGACUUGUAGCCUGGCUGUGACCUGCAGUAGCUGGGCUAAUCAUUCCUUGUGCUAUGUUCCUCCUAUUCUGGCCAAUUUACUUAGCUCAAAUGAAACUAAAGAGGCACGGGUUCAACCCAAUUGGAUGGAGGAAGAUGUUAAACCACAUCCAAAAGGAACAGCUCCCAGGAAGCUUUCCCUUAGAGUUCUCCAAAUAGUCCUCCCUCCAAUCUGCUCCCCAUCUGCUGCUGGGAGUCACUCUGCCACCUGUAGAGGAUGUCUUUGAACAUGGGUUUGGUUGAUGUUUGGACAUGACGGCGAAUACAAAAGACACAAGGGAUUCUGCAGUGAGACGGAAAGUAAUGAGCGCUGCACGCAUGCCGACAGCGCAGAUUGAAGAUGCUCCCUAACGUCUAUGUGCAUCCAUCCCCAGCUGUACAAAUGAUGCAUUUCCCCAGCCAGGUGGACUCCAGGCACUCUGCACCUCCGCUUGCUUUGUGUUCUGACUACAUUAGAAGGUGAGAAGACAUUAAAUUUGCCUUAUGCAACACCACAAUUGACUGAAAUGGACAGUUUGACAAAGGAACAGCCACUUGCAUGCAGAUACAAUAGGCCACUGGAAGGAGCUGUCGGAUGAGGACCAGCCCUCGGCCUCUCAGAAUGUCACUCUUCCCAUAGAAGCACAUCACCUACCAUCUGCUGGAAGAUCAUCCGUUGAUCUUGGCCUAUUUUUCAUUUUCCCUCAUAAAAUCAGCUUUCCAACCCUUCACUCAUCUUUACUCUCUUUCAGCUCAUCCCUGAGAGUUCAACAUGGCAUAAGAUAAUGUAACUUUUCAAUAAAACAUAAAAUAAUCGGUUCAUUUAUUCAUCAAAAGCCUCAGCCUUCCAGCUUUACGAUUUUUCUGUAUCUCCCAGUAAAAAUAAUUCUUCGCUGCUA
rnacentral:lncRNA from 1 species